CAUGUUUCCUGUGGCAGGCGGUCUAGGCCCCCCGCAAGGGAUGAUUCCUAUGCAACAGCAAGGAUUUCCAAUGGUUCCUGUCAUGCAGUCCAAUAUGCCUGGCAUGAUGGGAAUGAAUUAUGGUUCUCAGAUGCCGCCUGGACCCAUGGCCAUGCAGGGUGGCAUGCCUUUAGCGCCAAUGCCAGCGACUGGAAUGCCUUACAUGGGCCAGGCCUCUUUUUUGGGAAUGCGUCCGGCAGCCCCGCAGUACACCCCUGACAUGCAGAAGCAGUUUGCAGAGGAACAACAGAAGAGAUUUGAGCACCAGCAGAAAUUCUUAGAAGAAGAAAGAAAACGACGCCAGUUUGAAGAGCAGAAACAAAAGCUGAGACUCCUAAGCAGUGUGAAACCUAAGACAGGUGAAAAAAGCAGGGAUGAUGCUUUGGAAGCCAUUAAAGGAAAUUUAGAUGGUUUUUCUAGAGAUGCUAAAAUGCACCCAACACCAGCCUCACAUCCAAAAAAGCCAGAUCAUCCCACAUCAUCCCAUUCUGCUGUAUCUGUUUCCCACUCUGCUUUUCUCGAUGAUGAAGAAUUUAGUGACUUUAUACAGGGGCCUGUUGAAAUCCCCAAAAUGGUGCCUCAACCCACCUCUCAGCCUUUUCAGCCUUUCCAUUCUGCUCCCGAGGCUGGGCAACUGCUUUCCGAAAAGGCUGUGCUCCAGCCUCUCCCUCCAGCCCAGACUCCAGUGUUACCCAUCCUGCAUGGUACAACUGGGCAGGUUCCUUGUUUUCCUACCUCUGCAUCUUCACCCAAUAUCCAUAAAACAGGCUCUUCCUUGGAGGAGAAAAUCUUAGAUAAUGGCUCAAAUGAAUCUGAACAAGAGCAAACCAAACUUAAAACAUCCGAAGUUGGGCACAAAGCCUCAGCUGCAAGCCAAGCUCAUCCCAGUCUAACCAUCAAUGACUGGGAUGUUGCAGGUGGACAUGAAAGUGGUGUCACUGCUGCAGAGGUGCACAAGGCUUCAGAACAAAACAUAGCAGUUGAAGAGUGUGGAGUUGGAGUAUUCCCUUCGCAGGACCCAAUUCAGCAAAUGAUGCCCCCUUGGAUUUACAAUGAUAGCUUGGUCCCAGAGCUGUACAAGAAAAUUUUAGAAACAACUUUGACUCCUGCUGGAAUAGAUACAGCUAAACUCUACCCCAUACUGAUGUCGUCUGGAUUGCCCAGAGAGACUCUUGGGCAAAUAUGGGCUUUAGCCAACCGCACCACCCCUGGGAAGCUCACCAAGGAAGAGCUCUACGCCGUCCUGGCCAUGAUAGCGGUGACUCAGAGAGGAAUACCUGCCGUGAGUCCUGACGUGUUAAACCAGUUUCCAGCGGCCCCCGUUCCUACUUUAAGCGGGUUCCCCAUGCCGCUGCCCGCCGCAGUGAGCCAGCAGCCCCUGCUGCCCGCCGCGCCGCCCGUCUCCGUGCCCCUCAGCAUCGGGCCUCCCGUGAUGGGAAUGAGCAUCACGGCACCAGCGGGAGGAGCUGCAGCUCAACCCUCUGCAGGAUUCCUGCCGUCCUACCCGCCCGCCCAGGUAGUAAAACCAGAAGAUGAUGACUUCCAGGAGUUUCAAGAUGCUUCAAAGUCUGGCUCACUCGAUGACUCUUUCACUGAUUUCCAAGGGGAUGUAGCUGCCUCCUCCAAAGCAGCCAGUUCACAGCACAGGAGCAGUGUUCCUUCUUUACUAAUGCCACUCCCAGGUAAUAAGACGCUCGCCUCAACUGAUAAAUACGCUGUGUUCAAAGGGAUUGCAGCUGAGAAGCCUUCUGAAAGUACAGCUACUUUUGGAGAUGGUGGAGACAAGUAUAGUGCUUUCCGUGAGUUAGAACAACCAGCAGAGAGCAAAUACUUAGGAGAUAACCUUGCUGAAUUCAAGCCUGCAGGAACCGAUGAUGGUUUCACAGAUUUUAAAACCGCUGACAGUAUCUCACCCUUAGAGCCACCUACAAAAGACAAAACCUUCCCUACGUCCUUCCCUUCUCUGCCCGUUCAGUCAAAACAGCAAACACAAGCAAAGACCUCUUUGAAUCUAGCAGACUUGGAUCUCUUUUCCUCUACUGGAGAAAACAAGCAGCCAUCCUUUCCACCUGCGUUUAAUACAGCAAAAUCGGGCUCCUUUCCCCCACCACCCCUUCCAUCUACCACCGCCCAACCAGCCCCUGGCAAAAGCUCCAGCUUAGCUGAUGAGUUUGGAGAGUUCAACCUUUUUGGGGAAUUUUCUAAUUGCGCAUCAGCUGCUGGACAAGAUGACUUUGCAGAUUUUAUGGCUUUCAACAAUAGCAGUGGAUUUUCCGAACAAAAACCAGAUGACAAAUACAACGCGCUGAAGCUGGAGGCCGUUCCUCAGGCUGGCUCGGCUGCUGGCGGCGCGGCGAAGAGCGGGCAGAGCUCUGCUGCCCCUGCUACCCCCACCAAGUACGACAUCUUCAAGCAGCUUUCUCUGGAAGGCUCUGGAACAGGCUUUGAGGAGGCGAAGGACAACGCGCUUUCUUCGGUAAAGAGCGACGAUGAUUUUGCCGACUUUCACUCUAACAAGUUCUCUUCCACCUGCAACAGCGUGGAUAAGUCCCUGGUGGACAAAGUGGCAGCUUUCAAGCAGGCCAAAGAAGACUCUGCUUCGGUGAAGUCUCUGGAUCUGCCUUCCAUCGGUGGCAGCAGCGUCGGGAAGGAGGAUUCUGAAGACGCGUUGUCUGUUCAGUUUGACAUGAAACUGGCUGAUGUGGGAGGAGAUCUUAAGCAUGUCAUGUCUGAUAGCUCUUUGGAUUUGCCAACAGUUAGUGGCCAGCAUCCACCAGCAGCAGAUAUAGAUGACUUAAAAUGCGCCCCAUUUGGAAGCUACAACAGUGGGUCUGCAGUCAGCAGCCUGGCAAGCUAUGACUGGUCCGACAAAGAAGACAUUCAUCCGGGCAAGAAGCUCUCCUCCUUUGUCCAGUCUUCAGGAAGCGGGUCCUCUGCGGCAACUUCUGUUCUUCAGAAGAAGGAGACCUUGUUUGGCAGUUCAGAAAACAUUACCAUGACAACAGUUUCCAAAGUGACAACCUUUUCCAGCGAGGAUGCUUUACAGGAUGUUUCCUUUGCAGCCUUUGCAAACUUUAAAGACUCUGGACCAAUAUCCAGCGGCCCGAGUGACGAUGACAUCGGCGACUUCGGUGAUUUUGCAAGACCUUCAGCAGAAGCACAGGAUGCGGCGGCAGCAGCUGACACGAACCAAGAGGCAGAUUUCCUUGCUAGUGGUAUCUCUUCUGAGCUGCAAAGAGAGUCCACAGAUGACUUUGGAGAAUUCCAAAGUGAAAAGCCAAAAAUCAGCAAGUUUGACUUCUUGGUGGCGACUUCCCAAGGCAAGGUGAAAUCUAGUGAAGAAAUGAUCAAGAGCGAACUGGCUACUUUUGACUUGUCUGUUCAAGGGUCUCAUAAAAGGAGCUUAAGCCUGGGAGACCGAGAAAUAAGUCGCUCUUCACCUUUACCCGUUUUGGAACAGCCAUUUAGGGAUCGUUCAAAUACUCUCAGCGAGAAGCCGGCCUUGCCCGUCAUCAGGGACAAAUACAAAGACUUGACUGGGGAAGUUGAGGAAAGCGAGAGGUACGCCUAUGAAUGGCAGAGAUGCUUGGAGAGCGCCCUGCAAGUCAUAAAGAAAGCAAAUGACACCUUAAAUGGAAUAAGUAGUUCAUCCGUUUGCACUGAAGUUAUCCAGUCUGCUCAAGGCAUGGAAUAUUUACUGGGGGUUGUUGAGGUCUACAGGGUGACAAAGAGAGUGGAGCUGGGUAUCAAAGCAACCGCCGUUUGCAGUGAGAAGCUCCAGCAGCUGCUGAAGGACAUUGAUAAAGUGUGGAACAACCUAAUAAGCUUCAUGUCACUUGCUGCUUUAACGCCGGACGAAAACUCCCUGGAUUUCUCUUCCUGUAUGCUGCGCCCGGGGAUUAAAAACGCCCAAGAUCUUGCCUGUGGAGUGUGCCUCCUAAACGUGGAUUCCAGGAGUAAAAAAGAAGAGAAACCUGUGGAAGAGCUUCCUAGAAAAGCCUUUAAUUCGGAGACGGAUAACUUCAAGCUGGCGUACGGGGGGCACCAGUACCACGCAAGCUGUGCCAAUUUCUGGAUCAACUGUGUGGAGCCCAAACCUCCGGGUCUCAUUUUGCCAGACCUGCUCUGAGAGGAGCUGUGCUGAGGAUGGGGUGUCAGGGCCGAUACCACAGGACACUUGGGGUAAAUUGUGUGAUGGGGGACGUGGACAGGCUGGAGGGGGGGUCGGUGUUUGAAAUGUCUCGGUUUGAUUUUUGUACGAUAAGGGGUUAAAGCCACCGCCACGUACAAAUUGCUCAUGAAGAGAAAUUUCCGAAAUAACCAGAAAAAAAACUGUCGUGUGGCAAAAAAUAGGGCAUAUCAGUCUUUCUCAAGAUGGAAACGGGUUAUUCUGUAACAAACCAACCUGCAAACCACCUGCAUAAACCUCUGAGAGAGGCCAGUUCUGAGCUUCUGAGAAAAACUGCAACGCUUGACUGAUCUGCGUAGAAGUGACCACUUAAAUACUUGAAGUACACAUUUGCAAACAAAUCUUUUCUUUAGUUUUUCGGUAUAUGGACCAUGAUGGUUUUCUUUAAAUGUUUGCUGCUAUUCUAUUAGGAUGCAUACAAUGCACAGGAACUUUCCGGGCAAAAUGAAUUAUUGAGUUAGAAGGAAUGAGACUGCCUAGAGCCGUUGUAUAUUUAUAUUUCCACUCUUCUGUGUUGUAAAUUAUACUGUGUUCAGCUGCGUAGCUGGUUAGCACUGGGGGACAAGGACUGGAAAAAAUUAUUGAAAUUUUCCCUAUCAUAUCUGGAGUCCAGGCAGCUGGAUUUUAAAACUCUCAGUCUUUGUUACUCUGCUGUAAAUAGGAGACAGACCCCUUCCUUGGACCUGUCCUGAGCUGCGGGUGUGAUUUGUCGUGUUCCACUCAACCCUUUGGCUGCCUCACUGGUAAAAUUGGGGCUCUGCUGACCCAGCGUGUCUGCUCCUCUCUCUCUGGUACCUUUUUUUGUGUGUUUAAUGUGCUUUUCUCCAUGGGAUGCCCACGUGUGACUUGUGCAAUCUCGUGCUAUCUGUGCGAACGUGUUUCUCUGACUCAGAGCUGGCAGCGCGGGGCGGCCCCGAGCUCCUGCUCCAGGUGGGUGUGAUUUAACCCCAAAACUUGCUCUUCUCCAGCAGGUUAUCGUGCACCAGCCCCGUCCUUGCUCCUGGUAGCUACAGCUCCCUGGGCAGAAGGAGGGUGGUAUAAUAGACUAUCACACAAUGUGACCCAUACACAUAAAGUACCCCAUUCUCUCCUCCAGACAACAGCACAACCAGCUUUAGUGCUGGUUACAGAAUUUUAAACCCAGUGGGAGCCUCACGGUGUUAUUUUAAGAGCCUGACCACUGUGCAGCCUUGCUCUGUGAAGUGGGGUGUGUGUCCAUCAGGUACAACCGGCUGCUUAAUUCUUUGACUUCAGUUGCUCAGAUCUGGAGGAAAUCUCCCUUCUCUCCAAAGGUACCGACAGCUUUUUCCAAGUUAAUCUUGCCCCCAGUAUAAGGAGCAGCCACUGACUGGUGGUUAUUUGCUGAAAUAGAAAUUACAAUGAGGAAAAAUGAUGCUUUGUAUUUAAAAAAAAAAAAAAAAAAGGCAAGCUUAGUUAUACUAAACUAUUAAUUAUACCAAAUGAAACAAUCUUGGCUAAUAAGACUGCUAGGUGUCUGGCCCCUUAUUUACACAAAUUAAAAUAAAUCUUCCUGCUGCCUGAAAUUAGCUCAUUCAUAAAAUAAGCAACUUGUGCCUCCAGUCUCAAGCUCCAGCUCAUCCAGCGGCAGGUUUUCAAUGGUGUGACAGCGACUGCCUGCUGCUGCCCAGUAAUUAGCAAAAAAAAGGGCAGUCCCUCCUUGGGUGCUCUCCGUUUCCUUUGUGAGGUGUGAAGCAGGGACAGCACCCAGUGCCCUCGCUGGUAACCACAUUUAUUGUUUUCCAGCAUAAUUAGGGGCUGGUGGAUCCCUCACCGGGGCGAGUGUUCCCAUUGAUGUUUUGGGGGGUACUCAGCUUUUGGGUGGGGAAUUACAGAACCACUCCAGGGCUCUCUGACUUCAAGCGGCCGCUCCGUCUUGCUGUCAGCCAGGGGACUUCUCAAGUGGUUUGGAGUAUCUGGCUGACGCAGAGGCUGUUGCUUAUGAAAGGCUAUAUUAGGAAAAGGGAGUUUAUUGUCAGCUUGGGUUUCCACCGCAGCUCCUCAACACUUCGCUAGAUAGGAUUUUUUUUUAUUUUUUUUUUCUCCCUUUCUAAUUAAAAGAGAAUGCCACAAAUAAAAAGAGGCCACGGCGUGAAACUUAAAGCAACCGGUAUUUCAAAUACAGCACCAGCUUUAUUGGCAUAAAAGCAUUUUUCAGCGAUGUUUUUCUUGUACUGGUUGAGCAAGGAAGCUCCCUCUCUAUAGACGUGUCCAGUGUGUCUUUUGGCCCAGAGAAACCAGGAAUCAGCAUUUACAAUUCUAAUUGCAGCAGGGCUCGCUGGAGUGUGUGACACUCCUCGUGUGUCAGGGGAAGCAGCAGGAGAUGUUGGUGCCUCUGGGUUGAGCAGGGAGCCUUCUCCUGAGCCCAGCACCUUCAUGUCACGGGAAGGCACCGCAUCCCUUGUGUGUCCACACCCUGGAUAAAGGCUCUGCACAAGGAGGACCAUCUCACUCCCACAUCCAUGUUCCAAUGACUCGCUGGUCCACUCGGCAUCUCCUCGGAGAUGACACUGUCAGUCAGAGCCCGGGGUCCAGGUGGGCUGUACCCAGGGUGACACUAUUUUCUGAGAGCCCCCCCCUUCCCUCCUUCCUUCCCUCCCCGGCUGAUGGAGAUGCUGAAUUUCACAAAUGUAACUCCUUUUCCUGCAUGUCUCUGCUAGAAAAAAAAGAGAAACACCGGGGUUUUGUUAUUUAAUGCACCCGUUCUCUGGAGCUGCCUUGGGAUCAUCCGUGGAAAGUGAUAAUUUUUUUUCUAUAUAUUUUGUAUAUUUGGAAUUUUAAAGAGAUUGUUUGCUUGGUUAUUUAAUGUAUAUUUUGCUUUACCCAGCUGUAUUCCUGAUGCUUUUGGUGUGUUGUGGUUUUUCCUCGGUGGCUCCAGCCCGUCCCCUGCCCGUCCAGCCCCAGUUUUGGGUUGGAUGUGCCCCGAAUUGGCUGCGGGCGCUGGGAGGUUGUUUGUGCUGUAGGAAUUGUUCUGUUCUGCACUUGAUGGUUCUGCUGAUUUUUUCCCUCUCUGGCAGCAGCUUCUCUUCACCUGGGUUGGUUUUUGAGCAGUUCUUUCCUUGACAUUCGUGCAGUUUAUAUGAAGUGAUGGUGAAGCUCAACCUAAGGUUGAGAAGCUCCUGAAAACCAAGGAAUGCUCUGAUUUCUAGUUAAUUCCGUGUCUGAUUAAUUAAACUUGAAACAAAUACCUGCCUUUUCAAUAAAAGCUGCUAUUGUACAAACUA